AAUUAGGCACAUGAAAUUCAACAUAUAAUCAUCAUAUAAAUACCAUCGUAAUAUCACAAUUCAAAAUUAUAAAUUAAAACAUCCAACCCUAAGGAGGUUAAAGGUUCAUCCAUUCUACCCUUCCACCAUACCCUUUACUUUUGCAACAAGUUCCCACCCUUACCUGAUCUCCAGCAAAAGCCUUUGAUCUUCUUCUUCAAUCUCAA
rnacentral:lncRNA from 1 species